rnacentral:misc_RNA from 1 species
AAGUCGUAACAAGGUUUCCGUAGGUGAACCUGCGGAAGGAUCAUUACAAAAACAAAAUCCAAACCACACCACUGUGCUCUUUAUUGUGAGAAAAAUGUCUUUGUGUGUUGCUGUGUUGUUGGGGGAGAGGAGAAGAAUUUAUUUUUCCCCUUUCUUUCCUUCACACACACACACACAAGCUUUUCCUCACAUGUCUUUGUUUUCAAUUUUUCAUUACUCCUUGUUUAACCAACAACGGAUUACAAUGUUAAAACUUGAAACAAACAAACAAAACAAAAUGACAACUUUUAACGGUGGAUCUCUUGGCUCGU